rnacentral:rRNA from 1 species
CAGUAGGGAAUUUUCGGCAAUGGGCGCAAGCCUGACCGAGCAACGCCGCGUGAGUGAAGAAGGCCUUCGGGUUGUAAAGCUCUGUUGUAAGGGAAGAAUGGCCAAGAGAGGGAAUGCUCUUGGAGUGACGGUACCUUACCAGAAAGCCACGGCUAACUACGUGCCAGCAGCCGCGGUAAUACGUAGGUGGCAAGCGUUGUCCGGAAUUACUGGGUGUAAAGGGCGUGUAGGCGGGAAUGUAAGUUGGAUGUGAAAUUACAGGGCUUAACCCUGGAGCUGCAUCCAAAACUACAUUUCUUGAGUACUGGAGAGGAAAGCGGAAUUCCUAGUGUAGCGGUGAAAUGCGUAGAUAUUAGGAGGAACACCAGUGGCGAAGGCGGCUUUCUGGACAGUAACUGACGCUGAGGCGCGAAAG